CAAAUAAAAAAAUCGAAAUAAGAAUGUUAGGAUAAUUACCCGACUAAAUCGAUUUUUAGUCAAAUAGUAAUAAAUCUGGAGUUGAUUUACUCGACUAAUUUUGACUUUUGACUGAUUGACUUAUAGUUGAUUUAGUCGAAGGCAAUAACAACACUAGUUGUGCUGUUGAGUAGUUUUUUUAUUUUAUUCUUUAAAAUUUCUAAUGUUAUGAACAUAAUCAAUAUAAUGUUAUGUUAUGAAUUUCUUUUAUUUUUCUUAUUAAUUACUUUUAUUAUUAAUGCUUUUGACUAGAAAAUAUGCAAACUAAAGAAAAGCAAUAUAUGGUCAGAUGAUGAAGAGGUUCAUUUUGAGGAGACCUCUGGAAGUUCACAAGUCCAAAACUAUUUUGAGAAAGAACAAUUAACUAAUAGUCGGUAUAUAAGAAAAGAUGCAGCUAUGUUGCCAAUUAAAGAGUUUCUUUUAACUG
rnacentral:lncRNA from 1 species